CACGUAGGGUGCGAGCGUUGUCCGGAAUUAUUGGGCGUAAAGAGCUCGUAGGCGGUGUGUCGCGUCGGCCGUGAAAACCUGUGGCUUAACCAUGGGCUUGCGGUCGAUACGGGCAUCACUAGAGUUCGGCAGGGGAGACUGGAAUUCCUGGUGUAGCGGUGAAAUGCGCAGAUAUCAGGAGGAACACCGGUGGCGAAGGCGGGUCUCUGGGCCGAUAUUGACGCUGAGGAGCGAAAGCGUGGGGAGCGAACAGG
rnacentral:rRNA from 1 species